GUGGGGAAUAUUGGACAAUGGGGGGAACCCUGAUCCAGCCAUGCCGCGUGUGUGAAGAAGGCCUUUUGGUUGUAAAGCACUUUAAGCGAGGAGGAGGCUACCGAGAUUAAUACUCUUGGAUAGUGGACGUUACUCGCAGAAUAAGCACCGGCUAACUCUGUGCCAGCAGCCGCGGUAAUACAGAGGGUGCAAGCGUUAAUCGGAUUUACUGGGCGUACAGCGCGCGUAGGUGGCCAAUUAAGUCAAAUGUGAAAUCCCCGAGCUUAACUUGGGAAGUGCAUUCGAUACUGGUUGGCUAGAGUAUGGGAGAGGAUGGUAGAAUUCCAGGUGUAGCGGUGAAAUGCGUAGAGAUCUGGAGGAAUACCGAUGGCGAAGGCAGCCAUCUGGCCUAAUACUGACACUGAGGUGCGAAAGCAUGGGGAGCAAACAGGAUUAGAAACCCGGGUAGUCC
rnacentral:rRNA from 1 species